UACAGAGGUCUCAAGCGUUGUUCGGAUUCAUUGGGCGUAAAGGGUGCGUAGGUGGCGCCGUAAGUCAGGUGUGAAAUUUCGGAGCUCAACUCCGAAACUGCAUUUGAUACUGCGGUGCUUGAGGACUGGAGAGGAGACUGGAAUUCGACGGUGUAGCAGUGAAAUGCGUAGAUAUCGUGAGGAAGACCAGUGGCGGAAAGGCGGG
rnacentral:rRNA from 1 species